CUUCCCUGAGCUGCUCCAGCUCUCCUGGCAUCUGCCAAAAGUAAAUCCUCAGCCCUGCUAAUUUCUGCUCAUGCUGCCGCACUGACACUAAAUCCCAGGAGGCAGCUAAGCCCGGCUCAGCUGCCAUACCCCGACAUCCCAUGGCACAGGAUCAGCUUGGACGGAGGGAGGGGGGGUCGCACGCCACCUCCCCUGCCCUACAUUUGUCACUUGCUUCUUGCACUAAGCGUUAUGGGAUGCACGGUGCCGUAAUGUCACAAUGGGUGUCAGCGCCCCAUUCAGUCUGUCCCCUGCCUCACUGCUGAAACAGCAUCAGGCUUGUGCUGGUCCCACGUGCCCCCCACUCCACAGCCAGUCCCAGCUGCUUCCCUCAACAUGGGGUGGCCUCCCACAAGGUGAGGAACUGCAGAAGCUGGGUCUUGUCUUGGGGCUCAAAAACCUGUCCCCACAACCUGUUGCAAACUGACACUUCGCCUGUGGCAGCUGUGAAAACAAACAGGCAAAAAGGUGACAAAAGCCACCUUGGAAGGGAGAGAGUGUUGGCUGCAUGCACUCUGCUUACUGCAGCUGGAGGUUCACCCUGCAGCUGGGUAGGCAGGCCUGCCAGCUAAAACAGCCAGGAGCAUUGCAGGGAUAAAAUUCUAGGAACAGAAUAAAAUGUCUGCUGGAAGCCACACAGGUGGUGGUGCUGAGAUUCCUGUGGUUAGACACCUGCAGGUGAUAGAGGAAUUUGCCCCAGGCUUGCUUGAUCAGUGGAGAGAAGAGGAAAUAUUAGGGCACAGUUCACCUGAGCUGCUUUAGGUGUCUCUUUUGAGAGAGAAGGAACCUCUCCUGCCUGGUUUCCAUUGACUUGAAAGGAGGUGAAAGACUAGAAGAGUACUAUAAUUGUUGCCUAUCUCCCUGCAGCUGAACGCAACUCCGUGUGACACACAGCUUGUAAGGACCUCUGUGAGCCCAGGCUGAAUUUCUGCUGUUAUCAAAUCAGACAGCUUCCUUUCAUUGUCAUAUGAGUCAUUGGAGGACCUUGCCUUAGAUCUGCUGGAGCGUUUGAGACGUGUGGUUUCGUAGCUGCUGGACGGGAGGCACUAACACAGAGUGACUCAUUGCUCCCCUUGGGGACAAGAGGUUUAUGCAGUCAACUGGAAAUCAUAUUUUGUAUGCAGAUAGACUGCUCCAUAGUGGAGAAUCCCAAAGAAUCUUGCCAACACCAACUCCCUUACAUAGAUGUCAGCAGCUGUAGUGAGUUCUACAGGAGCAAUGGGUUAUUACACACCUGUGACCUGACAGGGAAGGGCACAGGUGUGAAAGGCUAAUGAAAAUGACAUUUUCAAAGGCUGAGAAGAGAAGGAAAAAACCCCAUGAGACAGUACUGAAAAAUGUUUUCCUUUAUAUUGCUCAAUUCAAUUCCUAGACCUUAUGUGACAUACAACACACCUGGUGGAUCCUGAUGUUUUUCUGUCCCUGGGUCACCUAGACCAGUGCAAGGCCAGGGCAGAGGAUGUGUGGUGUCCUUGAACCAGAGGGAAUGUCAGUCUGCUGCAGACUCAAGGGCUCACUUGUCUGCUCAGGAUGCAGAGAGUCACGUUCAUAGCCAUGGAAAUUACUGGUUUAACAUGCAGCACUGGCAGCCACAUAAACAAAGGUUUGACCGAGAUUCAGGCUGCUUUGGGAGUGGAAUGAAAUUCCUUUUUUUGACAGAUAGUUUGCUGUUGCCAUGGUUAUGGAACUUGCUGCACUUCUGGUCUCUUCCCCACCCCUCUGGGUACUUUCCUUCUACUGAUGCCAGGAUUUCCUUGAAUCUUCUUUUGGUCUUUACACUGAGCCUUGGACUUACUAGCCUAUGUCACAAGACCCUUACCCUGCAGGUCCAACUGGACGUGCCUGCGUACGGCUUGUCCCAUUCUCCAGCAUGCCAGCAAGGGCCUGCCUCUCAGUCUGCUUCUCCAAACAGCCACUCUCUUUCAUUACUCUUUAAAGUGAUGCCAUGGCCUUUUCAUUUUUCCAUUUGCAAGUAAGCAAAACUAACUGUACAAAACCAGCUUUGAUUAUUUUCCAUCCUCUUCCCUGGGCAAGGCAGGAAGCUAACAGGCCUGGCAUUGUCCCUUAGCAGCCUCCCAGUCUGCACUCAGAAGUUCCUCAGCUCAAUCCAGUUUUUUCUCUUGGUUUUCCUUCCUGCUCUGUUGAACACAGUGUUUUAGCAGAAAGAAUAAAUAGCUCAAUAGUUUGUACAUUACUAGAGAGCAGCAAAUGUCACCUGAUCCAUAAGGAUAUGGCUGCUUUGGCCAGGAUCUCUAAGUUCCUAGUGGAGUUCUUGAAAAUCAUUAUUUAGAUCUGGUGUGUAUUUUAUUACUUAGCACAAGUAUGUCAAACAGCUCCUGUUUGCCACCUCAUCAGUGUAUCUGAUGCUAUUGGUGAUUACACUGGAUAUGACUUUUGCAAACAUCACUUCAGUGAUCUGUUUCCAAAUUCCUGAGUUAAAAAACACUUAAAACAAUAAUUCACACUAGUAGCCAGAGAUGGGGGUGUUCCUUA